rnacentral:rRNA from 1 species
UACGUAGGGGGCAAGCGUUGUCCGGAUUUAUUGGGCGUAAAGAGCGUGUAGGCGGCUAGAUAGGUCCGUUGUGAAAACUCGAGCUCAACCUCGAGACGCCGGUGGAAACCAUCUAGCUAGAGUCCGGAAGAGGAGAGUGGAAUUCCUGGUGUAGCGGUGAAAUGACGCAGAUAUCAGGAAGAACACCCGUGGCGAAGGCGGCUCUCUGGGACGUGACUGACGCUGAGACGCGAAAGCGUGGGGAGCGAACAGG